CGGAACUAGAGAGAGAGAAAAAAAAUGCCAUAAAGGUGACCGGGUUUCGAUCCUGGUGACCGGCUGAUAGAAUGUGUCGGUACGUGCGCAGGGGCGAGGCCACCGGACAGGCGCCAAGUGGAAAGCUGGAGGAGGAAGUGUUUGUUCCAGUGGGGCUGCCGUGCGUUCAGAGCACUGUGUACAAACAAAUGGAAAAGCCAUCACUCCUCUGGAAACUUACCCCAUGUGUGUAGACCUCUGCGUGUCGCUUGCCACAGUCCCGCUCACUAUAUAAAUCAAGAAAACUCACGGCCUAGAAUUUGGAUUGCGCUGCGAAACCCGGCGAAUCCUAUUCCAUCCUGUGCUAGCUUGUGACCUGAGACAUCUCAGUGAACCUUUCUGACUCUCAGAUUCCUCCAGGGUCUCCUAAGGCUAAUAACCACAUUUGGUGCUGAAGUCUGAAAGUGAUUAUACUAUAAGUGAUAUAAAAUGGUAAUAUCGGUGUUCUUUAUGGGAACCCCUCCCUCCUUUCCUAUUGGACCCAUUUAUGUGGUCAUCACUGGAGAGCACUGGAGAGUGGGCCCUAUCAGAGACACUGUGCUCAAGAACAGCCACGUAAUAAUACCAUUACGCUUGGGCUCAAAGGAGAUGCUCAUUGCUCCAAAGUGGAUCUCAUUCUUCCCUACAUCUUAACAAUACAUCCAUUUAGAAGUGAACCCAAAUGCUCCUCUCCAGUGAAAGCAAUUCCACAGUGACAUGAAUUUUGUUUACAAAUUAACUAAAGCGCCGGCUGGUGAUUGGAGCAGUUAUGAUUUACAACAGGUGCCCUGAUCAAUCAACCAAUCACUCUAAUUCAUGUGAGCGGAGGUCUUGCCUUGCCCCAGUUGUUUCAUUUCGGCAAGUAAUUGAUAACAAACCGCACUCAAGUGUCAUCUGUACCUCAGGAAGAGGCGGGGCUCAGUAGAACCAGAAGGCUGGGAAUGAGGAACAAUGAAUGGUUCUAGAAGCCACAGGGCAGGUGACUUUUCCUGACUUGCCCUGCCAUACACCUGAGCUACUUCCAGUGGGAUGUGAAGCUCCCAGAUCUUCAAACAGUAUUUGUUGAACAUGCAUCUGGCAUGAAAAACGUUUCCACUCCUUCUUUUUAAUAAACACAAUGUCUCAUCCUAUAAUCCUGGUAGGGGAAAGAUAAGCUCUUUCCACCAUCUCAAGCCUAGAAUACUAUAUAUCAAACAAAUUGUACAACCUCCCUUGUACAGAACAGAAUAACCAACACUGAAUAUUUUUGUGACAGCUUAUUCUCUUUACUCAAAUUCUGCCAAUCAGACCUCUAUGAUUGUCUAGAGACUGCUGAAAACCAGGUAGGUCCCAAAUUUCUUAUUUAUUAGGAAUUGCAUUUGGCCCUUUAGAAACAUUUUGUGGAAAAGGAUUUUCCUAGGAGAAUGGAUGGGGGUCCUGGAACAUUCCCCUUUGCUACUACUUAGUACACAUUUUGGUAAAUCUGGAUCUGUCUACAGAGUCCAAAGCCUUGUCUCAGGGCA